GUUGGCGAGCUGGUCUUUUGUUUUUCUUUAUGCUACCGAAGCUUCUCGCGGAUAAAUUUGGCGCUGAAAUAGGUUUAAUGUAGGUCACAGCAAUCCUGUGUCAAUUUGUUUAGGUUUUGGAAAAUAAUCAGGAUUGAAAAUUCUGCUGUUAAUCUUGCUGAUUCUUUUCAGCAAAAUGGCCUACCUUUUAAG